GGUCAUGCAGUGACAAGGGCAACUUCAGUGUGCUUUCUGCAGUGGUGUCAAGGAACCCAUGGGCAGCAUGGCUUCUUGCCACACAGCUGGCCACAGGACUGGCCUCAGCAGCAGGAGCCUCUACAGUCUUGGAGGGAAUCAGCAUACUUCCUACAAUGUGGCAGGUGGCAGUGCUCGGGGCACAAGGCACAGCUUUGGAUAUGGGUAUGGUGGGGGUCGAGGGAGUGGCUUUGCCAACAGCAUGUUUGGCAGCAUGGCCCUGGGGGCCAAUUGUCCAUCUGUGUGUCUGUCUGGGGGCAUCUACCAGGUCACAGUCAACAAGAGCCUCCUGGCUCCCUUGAAUGUGGAGCUGGACCCUGAGAUCCAGAAAGUGCGUGCACAGGAGCGGGAGCAGAUCAAGGCUCUGAACGACAAGUUCGCCUCCUUCAUUGACAAGGUGCGCUUCUUGGAGCAGCAGAACCAGGUGCUGCAGACCAAGUGGGAGCUGCUGCAGCAGCUGGACCUGAGUAACUGCAGGAGGAACCUGGAGCCUGUUUAUGAAGCCCACAUCAGCAACCUUCGCAAACAGCUAGAGAUGCUGUCUGGGGAAAGGAUACGAGGUUGAGAUUACCCAACGUACAGCUGCAGAGAACGAGUUUGUGCUGCUUAAGAAGGACGCAGAUGCAGCCUACACAGUCAAGGUGGAACUUCAAGACAAGGUGGACUCUCUGGACAAAGACAUCAAAUUUCUCAAGUGUCUGUACGAUGAAGAGAUUUCCCAGCUCCAGACUCAUGCUAGUGAGACCUCUGUCAUCCUGUCCAUGGACAACAAUCGAGAUCUGGACCUGGCCGGCAUCAUUGCUGAAGUCCGUGCCCACUACGAGGACAUCGCGCUCAAGAGCAAGGCUGAAGCUGAGAUGUUGUACCAGACCAAGAUCCAGGAGCUGCAGCUGGCGGCUGGCUGCUAUGGGGACAGCCUGAAACACAUCAGGAGUGAGAUGUUGGAGCUGGACCGGCUUAUCCAGAGGAUCCGCUGUGACAUUGCUAACGUGAAGAAGCAGUGUUCCAAUCUGGAGAUGGCCAUCGCUGAUGCUGAGCAGAGAGGGGACAGUGCCCUCAAGGAUGCCUGGGCCAAGCUGGAUGAGCUGGAGGGUGCCCUGCAGCAGGCCAAGGAGGAGCUGGCUCGGAUGCUGUGUGAAUACCAGGAGCUCAUGGGCCUGAAGCUGUCACUGGACGUGGAGAUCGCUACCUACAGGAAGCUACUGGAGGGCGAGGAGAACAGGAUGUCUGGUGAGAACCCAUCUUCUGUGAGUGUCUCUGUCAUCAGCAGCAGUUGUGGGUCCUGUGGUUAUCAUCCAAGCUCCAUGAUCUCUGACUCUGAGGCUGGCAAUGCAGUUGGUAGCCCCAGCACCCCUCGAAACAGCCAGUCCAAGACUAGAGGAUCAAGUGUAGACCCCAGGGAUGCUCAGGACGAGAGCGCUGCUGCUGCUGGUACCCUGGCCAGGAAGACCACUUGAUCAGCCCACCACUCCACUCACCUCAGUGUCUGGAGAAAGAAUGCCUUUGCUACUGCCCAGAGAUGCCUGUGACACUUGAAACCUCCACCCCUG